rnacentral:rRNA from 1 species
UACGUAGGGUCCGAGCGUUGUCCGGAAUUACUGGGCGUAAAGAGCUCGUAGGUGGUUUGUCGCGUUGUUCGUGAAAACUCACAGCUCAACUGUGGGCGUGCGGGCGAUACGGGCAGACUAGAGUACUGCAGGGGAGACUGGAAUUCCUGGUGUAGCGGUGAAAUGCGUAGAUAUCUGGAGGAACACCGGUGGCGAAGGCGGCAUCCUGGACCAACACUGACACUGAUGAGCGAAAGCCAGGGGAGCAAACGGG